ACCCCUAAUCACCACCAUUGGAGAGAUUAACCAGUGGAGAAGCAAAUUUCCAGCAAUCUGAGAAGAAGCCUGUAGUGAGUUACGAAUGGUUGUGUCGAUGGAGGAGAGGAUUGAACCAACGGAUCUGAAGCUCUGUCGAUGAGUUCAUAGCCCAAACCACAACUCUUCCAAGACGAAUACAAUGAUUUUGCAAUCUGGAAGUAGCCGUAAACUUUGGAGACGAGGAUACUUGCAGGGACUCCUGUGAAAAGAAUGAAACACAAAAGAAAGCUGCACCAUAUGAAACAAAACAAUUCAACACUACUUGUCUCAAGCCCAACAACGGUUGCCACCACUUCAAAGGGUUUUCAGGUUUGGGACAAACAAUACAAAGCCUGGAGAGCCCAGCAAGAAAACAGAAAAAGCUAAUAUACAAAGUUUUUUAAACUGCUACUUGUAGUGAAUACGAUGAGAUAGAGAAAGUAAGCAAAGAAGCAUCAUAGCAACAUAUGUCUCUUCAAUGUUUCCUGGUAAUCAAAAACUAUGCUAAUGUGAGUAUCUGAUCUCUCUGUCAAUGUAUCUUCAAUGCCUUGAUUCCCCGGUAUGUCCAUGCGUUUAUUGUGGUGGUUGUUUCUCCUGAUCCUUCAGGAUCAUUGCUGGUUCAUUGUCGUCUCUCACUUGCUCCUGAUAUCAAUGGGAGUCGACACUAUUGUAAUGGGCAUUCCUGGUUUCCAAGCUGUUGGCAUAUUCCCUUGUUAUAUUAGUAAAGAUUUGUGAUAAUCUAAGAAUCGUUAUUAUCUAAGAUAGAUCCUCUCUUCUCUUCUCUAACAGUAUUCUAUUGAUAU